GAUUAAGCCAUGCAUGUCUAAGUAUAAACGAUUUAAUCGUGAAACCGCGAAUGGCUCAUUAUAACAGCUAUAAUUUACUUGAUCUUGACACAAUCCUACUUGGAUAACUGUGGUAAUUCUAGAGCUAAUACAUGCAUUAAAGCUCUGACCUCACGGGAAGAGUGCAUUUAUUAGAACAAAACCAAGCGGCUUCGGCUGUUUCUGGUUGACUCAUAGUAACUGAGCUGAUCGCAUGGUCUUGCACCGGCGACGUGUCUUUCAAGUAUCUGCCGUAUCAACUUUCGAUGGUAGUGUAUCUGACUACCAUGGUGAUCACGCGUAACGGAGAAUAAGGGUUCGGCUCCGGAGAGUUCGCCUGAGAAAUCGCGAACACAUCUAAGGAAGGCAGCAGGCGCGAAAAUUACCCACUCUCAGCACGAGGAGGUAGUGACGAAAAAUAACGAGACCGUUCUCUUAUGAGGCCGGUCAUCGGAAUGGGUAC
rnacentral:rRNA from 1 species